rnacentral:rRNA from 1 species
UACGUAGGGGCCGAGCGUUGUCCGGAGUUAUUGGGCGUAAAGCGCGCGCAGGCGGCCUCGCGCGCCCGACGUGAAAGCCCCCGGCUUAACCGGGGAGGGUCGUUGGGGACGGCGGGGCUUGAGGGCGGGAGAGGUCGGUGGAAUUCCCGGUGUAGUGGUGAAAUGCGUAGAUAUCGAGAGGAACACCUGCGGCGAAGGCGGGUAGCUGGGCCGACACUGACGCUGAGGCGCGAAAGCCAGGGGAGCGAACGGG